rnacentral:rRNA from 1 species
GACGAACGCUGGCGGCGUGCUUAACACAUGCAAGUCGAACGGAAAGGCCCUGCUUUUGUGGGGUGCUCGAGUGGCGAACGGGUGAGUAACACGUGAGUAACCUGCCCUUGACUUUGGGAUAACUUCAGGAAACUGGGGCUAAUACCGGAUAGGAGCUCCUGCUGCAUGGGGGGGGUUGGAAAGUUUCGGCGGUUGGGGAUGGACUCGCGGCUUAUCAGCUUGUUGGUGGGGUAGUGGCUUACCAAGGCUUUGACGGGUAGCCGGCCUGAGAGGGUGACCGGCCACAUUGGGACUGAGGUACGGCCCAGACUCCUACGGGAGGCAGCAGUGGGGAAUAUUGCACAAUGGGCGGAAGCCUGAUGCAGCAACGCCGCGUGCGGGAUGACGGCCUUCGGGUUGUAAACCGCUUUCGCCUGUGACGAAGCGUGAGUGACGGUAAUGGGUAAAGAAGCACCGGCUAACUACGUG